rnacentral:lncRNA from 1 species
AGUGCAAUAAUAUCUUUGAAAUCAUGAAAACUAUAGAAUACUUCUUUAUAAGCUGAUCUUAUUAACAAAGUGCUAUUGGAAAGACUAUAUACAAUGCAUAUCUUCACUGAUCUAUUUCUCAUGAAACGAUGAGUUUUUUUCUUAUGAGGUUUGUAAAUAUUUGUUAUCUGCUAUAUCAUUUUUGGUGAAUGUGUUUCUGUAUUAAGACUUAUGUAGUUCGGAUU